rnacentral:rRNA from 1 species
UGCAGUCGAGCGGAGAGAGGUAGCUUGCUACUGAUCUUAGCGGCGGACGGGUGAGUAAUGCUUAGGAAUCUGCCUAUUAGUGGGGGACAACAUUUCGAAAGGAAUGCUAAUACCGCAUACGUCCUACGGGAGAAAGCAGGGGAUCUUCGGACCUUGCGCUAAUAGAUGAGCCUAAGUCGGAUUAGCUAGUUGGUGGGGUAAAGGCCUACCAAGGCGACGAUCUGUAGCGGGUCUGAGAGGAUGAUCCGCCACACUGGGACUGAGACACGGCCCAGACUCCUACGGGAGGCAGCAGUGGGGAAUAUUGGACAAUGGGCGCCAGCCUGAUCCAGCCUUGCCGCGUGUGUGAAGAAGGCCUUAUGGUUGUUAAGCACUUUAAGCGAGGAGGAAGCGACUUUAGUUAAUACCUAGAGAUAGUGGACGUUACUCGCAGAAUAAGCACCGGCUAACUCUGUGCCAGGAGCCGCGGUAAUACAGAGGGUGCAAGCGUCACUCGGAUUUCUGGGCGUAAACGCCCGGAGCGGCCAUUCAGUCCAUGGAAAUCACCGAGCGUACAUGGGAAGUGCGUCGACACUGAUUGCUUGAGUUUGGACAGGCGACCGACUCCCGGGUAGCGAGUAUGCGUUACUGCGCAGAAAC